rnacentral:rRNA from 1 species
AACGAACGCUGGCGGCAGGCUUAACACAUGCAAGUCGAGCGCCCCGCAAGGGGAGCGGCAGACGGGUGAGUAACGCGUGGGAAUCUACCCAUCUCUACGGAAUAACGCAUGGAAACGUGUGCUAAUACCGUAUACGUCCUUCGGGAGAAAGAUUUAUCGGAGAUGGAUGAGCCCGCGUUGGAUUAGCUAGUUGGUGGGGUAAAGGCCUACCAAGGCGACGAUCCAUAGCUGGUCCGAGAGGAUGAUCAGCCACACUGGGACUGAGACACGGCCCAGACUCCUACGGGAGGCAGCAGUGGGGAAUAUUGGACAAUGGGCGCAAGCCUGAUCCAGCCAUGCCGCGUGAGUGAUGAAGGCCCUAGGGUUGUAAAGCUCUUUCACCGGUGAAGAUAAAGACGGUAACCGGAGAAGAAGCCCCGGCUAACUUCGUGCCAGCAGCCGCCGUAAUAC